GGCCCGAUCUGGGCACAGUGAAACUGGGACAGCUCUGUAAAUCCCUGGGCUGAAAACUUGGGGACCCCCAUGCCAGGCAGCUAAACCCUCCUUAUAGAGGGGCCAGAUGGCACCUGGCAAAGGAGUUGGCCCGGAGAUGGCCACCCUAGGGCAUGGGAUGGGAUAGCAGGGAUGGGGAUGAGGACGGGGACACAAGCCCAGCCCAGCACCCUGCCUGUCUCCAGGGUCCAAACACCCAUCACGGCCCCGUCUCGGUUUCAUUGCAGAGCCAGGACUGGACCAAGAACGAUGAGAAGCUCCUGCAAGCUGUGGAUUACAACGAUGCCGGGAGGGUGACAUCACUCCUCGUCCGCAAGGGGCUGGUCGCCACCAAGUUGGACUCGGAGGGCAAAUCCGCGUGAGUGCUGACCUGUAUCCUCCUGUCCCUGUGUCCACCCCGGUGCAGGCUGCUGGGCUCUCCUGGUCCCCUGAGCCACCCAGCGCUGCUCCUCGGGGCUUGCCGGGGGUUGGGGACAUGGGGCUGAUGGCCCUGGGCCUUGCUGCAGGUUCCACCUGGCCGCCAUGCGGGGGAACGUGGACUGCCUCGAAGCCAUGCUGGCCCACGGCGUGGAUGCCAUGACCAAGGACAGCUCAGGUUACACUGCCCUGCACUUGGCAUCCAAGCAUGGCCACCCGCAAUGUGUCAGCAAGCUGCUGCAGGUAAUGGGGCCUGGGUGCACGGCGCCGCGAGGGAGGCAGGGUGCCAUGCCCUGUGCCAUGCCCGACUCGGCCCCUUGCUCCAAGGGCACAGCCAGGCCCAACCUGCCUCGUCCUCCCUGCAUCCCUGGGAUGGCCACGCUCCCGUCCCUCUGCAGUGGCGUUGGUCGGCAUGGUGGUGCCUGGCUCUGGCCAGCACCAUGUGGUUUGGGGCUGGUGAUGAUGCUCUUCCACCACCAAGGAGCUCAAAGUGCCCCACAGUCCUGGCCCCUCAGGCAAUCCACCCCAUUCUCCUGUAACCCAGGCCCUCUCCCUCAGGCCUCCUGCCCCGUGGACGUGCCUGAUGGCAGCGGCCGGACGGCACUGCACCACGCAGGUGAGUGGGGACGAUGCCACCCCAUCCUGCUCGCAUCCCUGCAGGAGGCAAUACUCAGCCUCUGUCCUUCUCCCCAGCUGUCAGCGGCUGCAUCUCGUGCUCGGAGAUCCUCUGCGAUUUCAAGGCUCCAUUGAACAUCAAGGACAAGGUGAGAUCCCUCUGCUCAGCACCUGCUGUUGUAUGGAGGUCAAGUCCUCCGGCAGUGAUUAAACUCUACUGGGCCAGGUGAUGCUGCUGCGUAGAGCAGCCAAGGGCCAGGCUGAGGCUGCCUCUGAAAUGUGGCCACUUCUGGGGUGGGACACAGCAGCUAACUGCUGGCAGCACCUGGGGUCCCUGGGGUGCUGCUGUGAAAACACACUGCCCCUGCCCAGGAUGGCUUCACGCCGCUGAUCCUUGCUGCCAAGAUGAGCCACUCAGAGCUGUGCCGGUACCUGCUGCACCGUGGAGCGGCCGUGAACAGCCGGGACCUGCAAGGGAGGUGAGUCCCCCCCGAAGGGGACGGGGGGCCGACGGAGCGGACCGGACCCCUCACCUCUCCUCUCGUGGCUCUCCAGAACAGCCUUGAUGCUGGCCUGCGAGAACGGCAGCGUGGAGACCGUGGAGGUGCUCAUCAACGCGGGCGCCCGGGUGGCUGUGGUGGACUCCAUGGGCCACGACGCAGCUCACUACAGCCUGGCCACAGGCAAUGCUCUCAUCCAGCACUUCCUGCAGGAGGCCACCCAGCGCCGGUCCUGGGCCAGCGGUAAGGCGGCCACGCCGGCCUGAGCGCUCCCCGUCCUCGAGGGACUGCCCCACGGAUGUGUUUUCCCCCUGCACGGUGCUUUGGGGCAGCUGCCUCCCAGGAAGUCUUGUCCGUGACUUACAGAGCAUGGCCAGCCCUGAGCAGGGCUGGGCGAACACGUGUUCCCUUUCCCCAUGAGCUUGGGGUGCUUUCACCCAUGCUGUCACCAGCCGAGGGCUGGGAGGUGGUACUGAGCCUGGAUCUGCCUGUCCCAGUGCCUUAAUGAACUUGCACACAUGUGUUUGCACAUGCAUUUGCAAGCAUGGGGGUAUACACAGGUGUGUGUAUCAGAAAAUGCAUUUGUACAUGUCUGCACACGCAUGCACACGUGUGUGCGUCCCCAUGCGUGCACA
rnacentral:lncRNA from 1 species